rnacentral:rRNA from 1 species
UACGUAGGGGGCGAGCGUUGUCCGGAUUUAUUGGGCGUAAAAGGCUUGUAGGUGGCCACGUCAAGUCGGAUGUGAAAUCUCCCGGCUCAACUGGGAGGGGUCAUUCGAUACUGGCGGCUCGAGGCCGGUAGGGGGAAGCGGAAUUCCCGGUGUAGUGGUGGAAUGCGUAGAUAUCGGGAGGAACACCAGUGGCGAAGGCGGC